AACGCACGAGACCUGCGGACCUGCGGAGGGAUCAUUACCGAGUUUUCAACUCCCAAACCCCUGUGAACAUACCUAUCGUUGCCUCGGCGAGAGUAGCCCCAGGCGUUGGCGCAAGCCUUCGCCCUGGUAUCAGGCGCUCGCCGGAGGACCCAACUAAACUCUUGUAUUCUAAAGAAUCUUCUGAGUAACCAAAACAAAUAAAUUAAAACUUUCAACAAUGGAUCUCUAGAUCGGAAGAGC
rnacentral:misc_RNA from 1 species